GCUUGGGGACCACCCACUUCCGGUAUCGCUCAUGGCUCCCGCUGCGUUGAUGGAUUAAUGGUGGCUGUGUGGUCUGUCUGCUGUUUUCCCCUCGGAUUGGCAAUUUAACGUGUUGGAAAAUCUUUGGCCUCCAGGUAGAGCUGCCCAUAUUUGAAGAUUGGUUUUCCGGAUAUUUAAUCAGGAUUGCAGGGUGGUAUCCAGUGGUGCUGCUGUUUUGCUCCGCGCUGGUUUUGCUCCGUUUGCUUCCGGUGUGACGCGAACUGUGCUACCUCAUGGGGCUUCUUGUGCGACGUGGGUUGUGUCGUGCCGUGUGUGUGUGACAUUGUACCGCAUCGUUUCGCAUGGAAUUGGUAGAUUUUGAUCUUUUGUGACUUUAUGUCCAGGCUUGUAAACCCGUCUUCCAAUAUUUUGAGUCCCAUAAGGAGGGUUUUUGUGAAAGUUGGGUCACCUGGGUAUUUUUAUUGAAACUGUAUUGUUUUCUUCCUUUUUUUGUGGGGUUAACGAUUGUUUCAUUGAUUCUGUCUUGUUUCUGAAUGUUUUGAUGGUAUUUUUGGUGUAUGAUAAAUUUUCUCUUUGUCCUGUGUUUUAGGAGUCAAGCCCCCAGGGCAGGCUAUAGGCUGUCCCUCCUGCAUGGUGGUGGUGUUUCCGUCACAGCGUGCUGUGUGGUUGUGCGUGAUUUCACCGGUGUGCUGUGUGAGUGGGCCGUGUGUCUUGGUGGAGGUACCGAUUCUUAUAUAAAGUCAAGGAGCUGAAGUUGGUUUAUCUGCCCUGGGUUGACUUUGACCCCUUGUCUAGUGUGGUUUGUGUGUUUAAUUGUGAAUGUGGGACCAUGAUAUUGGGGGAUAGUUCCCUCUAUUUUAACGGAGUUGUGUGAUUUUUGUCUUGGCUAUUUUAAUUGAAUAAAUAUCUUUUUUGUUUUAUGUGAUUUUUUACAUUGUCAAUAAAGUAUUAAAGUUUCAUCUCUGCAUUCAUUCUUCUGUUUCCUACCCUGGAACAACGAACCUGUGUUCCUUUUGAUGGUAUAAUGAUGGUUCCCUGUGCCUAACAGGGUGGCAUAGUCAGUGUAAUUGUUUUACUAAAUUUGUAUUUCUGG